CUAAAGACUUUCAAUUUCAUUCACAUUAUUUAAGAUAUCUUCAUUGGGAAGGAUACUCUUUGAAAUCCUUGCCUUCAAAUUUUGAUGGAGAGAACCUCAUUGAACUCAACUUGCAGCAUAGCAAUAUAGAACACCUUUGGCAAGGGGAAAAGUAUCUUGAAGAGUUGAAGAUCUUGAAUUUAUCAGAAUCUCAGCAGCUUAAUGAAAUCCCACACUUCUCAAAUAUGUCAAAUUUGGAGCAACUAAAUGUUAAAGGUUGUAGAAGUUUGGAUAAUGUUGACUCAUCUGUUGGCUUCCUGAAGAAGCUUACUUUGUUAAAUUUGAGAGCGUGCCAAAAGAUUAGGAGCUUGCCAAGUACAAUUCAAAACUUGGUCUCUCUUAAAAGUCUUUAUAUAGAUGGUACUGCUAUUGAAGAAUUACCCUCCUCAAUCUGUCAUCUCACCUCACUUCAGGUUCUAUCUAUUAGUGAAUGCAAAAACUUGAGGAGUCUUCCGAGCAGCAUUUGUAGGUUGAAAUACCUUGAAGAACUUAAUCUCUAUGAUUGUUCAAACUUGGAGACUUUUCCGGAAAUCAUGGAGGAUAUGGAAUGCUUAAAGUCGCUUGAUUUAAGUGGAACGUGUAUAAAAGAGCUUCCAUCAUCAAUUGAGUUUCUAAAACA